ACCAGUAACCAGCAGGUAGCCUAGUGGUUAGAGUGUUGGACCAGUAACCAGCAGGUAGCCUAGUGGUUAGAGUGUUGGACCAGUAACCAGCAGGUAGCCUAGUGGUUAGAGUGUUGGACCAGUAACCAGCAGGUAGCCUAGUGGUUAGAGUGUUGGACCAGUAACCAGCAGGUAGCCUAGUGGUUAGAGUGUUGGACCAGUAACCAGCAGGUAGCCUAGUGGUUAGAGCGUUGGGCCAGUAACCAGCAGGUAGCCUAGUGGUUAGAGUGUUGGACCAGUAACCAGCAGGUAGCCUAGUGGUUAGAGUGUUGGACCAGUAACCAGCAGGUAGCCUAGUGGUUAGAGUGUUGGGCCAGUAACCAGCAGGUAGCCUAGUGGUUAGAGUGUUGGACCAGUAACCAACAGGUAGCCUAGUGGUUAGAGUGUUGGGCCAGUAACCAGCAGGUAGCCUAGUGGUUAGAGUGUUGGGCCAGUAACCAGCAGGUAGCCUAGUGGUUAGAGCGUUGGGCCAGUAACCAGCAGGUAGCCUAGUGGUUAGAGGCAGGUAGUCUAGCGGUUAGAGGCAGGUAGCCUAGUGGUUAGAGGCAGGUAGCCUAGUGGUUAGAGUGUUGGACCAGUAACCAGCAGGUAGCCUAGUGGUUAGAGUGUUGGACCAGUAACCAGCAGGUAGCCUAGUGGUUAGAGCAUUUGGCCAAUAAUCAGCAGGUAGCCUAGUGGUUAGAGCGUUGGGCCAGUAACCAGCAGGUAGCCUAGUGGUUAGAGUGUUGGACCAGUAACCAGCAGGUAGCCUAGUGGUUAGAGCGUUGGGCCAGUAACCAGCAGGUAGCCUAGUGGUUAGAGCGUUGGGCCAGUAACCAGCAGAUAGC